UGUUAGCCUCAUGCAAAGACCCCAGG
rnacentral:piRNA from 1 species